rnacentral:rRNA from 1 species
UACGGAGGGUGCGAGCGUUGUCUGGAAUCACUGGGCGUAAAGGGCGCGUAGGCGGCAUGCCAAGCGUGUGGUGAAAGCCCGGGGCUCAACCCCGGGUCGGCCGUGCGGACUGGCAUGCUCGAGCACUGUAGGGGCGGGUGGAAGUUCCGGGUGUAGCGGUGGAAUGCGUAGAGAUCCGGAAGAACACCGGUGGCGAAGGCGGCCCGCUGGGCAGGGAAGGAAGCGUAAGCUUCCGGCUGACGCUGAGGCGCGACAGCGUGGGGAGCAAACAGG